GGCUGAGUAGGAUGAUCAGUUUAUUAUUUCUGAAUGGCCUGGUGAUAAUCGAGCGACCAUGGCUCGAACAUUGCAAGUCUACCGAGCUUUAUGUUUCUUUAAAAUCUCUCCCCCCUCUCAUCUCUCCUUCUAUCCCAUUUCAUAACCCUUUGUUAUCUCUUCGCAGCGUUAGUUCUUCCAGCAAUACUUGAGCACUAAUAAUGGCAAGCUCUGCUGCUGGUUUAUCAGAUCUCAAAAAGUCGAGCUCGUCGAAGAAGAAGAAGGUCACGUCUCCAACAAGCUCUCUGUUAGUUACAAAUCAAAAAGCUUUUGCAGCAGAUGAGGGAGGGUUGACUACGCCAGAUCAAGGAGCAAAGACUCUGAAUCUGAAGACUGGUGCAAGCAGUGGAGACACUGAUCAAACUGCAGCUGGAGCCAAAAAAGUCGGGGGAAGACCGCGAAGUGAGAAGGAUAAGAAGUACAACAAAAAACAAAGGACAAUGGUGGAAGAAUACAAGAAAAUGUCGCCUGAGUUAGAAAAAUUGAAAGUACAGUGUGAGUAUUUAAAGAAGCAUCAGGAGUGCAUGAAACAACAGACGCAGUCAGACGCCAAAACGAUGGAUGAACUUCGGUCUCAAGUUAGUUCAUUGGCCAGCACCAUUGCAUCCCAAAAUCAGCUUAUCCAGUCUUUGUUUGUUGCGCUCCUGCCUGGCAGCGGUUUUGAUUCACAAACUCUGCAGCCCGGCAACGGUUCUGAUUCACAAACUAUGCAGCCCGACAGCGGUUUUGAUUCACAAACUAUGCAGCCCGACAGCGGUUUUAAUUCACAAACUAUGCAGCAAGGCAGCGGUUUUGAUUCACAAACUAUGCAGCCCGGUUUUAAUUCACAAAUUAUGCAGCCCGGCAGCGGUUUUAUUUCACAAACUAUGCAGACCGGCAGCGGUUUUGAUUCACAAACUAUGCAGCCUGGUUUUAAUUCACAAACUAUGCAGCCCAACAGCUGUUUUAUUUCACAAACUAUGCAGCCCGGCAACGGUUUUGAUUCACAAACUAUGCAGCCUGGUUUUAAUUCACGAACUAUGCAGCCCGGCAGCGGUUUUAAUUCACAAACUAUGCAGCCUGGUUUUAGUUCACGAACUAUGCAGCCUGGCAGCGGUUUUAUUUCACAAAAUAUGCAGCCCGGCAGCAGUUUUGAUUCACAAACUAUGCAGCCUGGGGAUUAUAGUUGUUCUGGUGAUUACCUGUUUAAAUCACCUUCAGACCCCAUGUAAACUGGCUGCGAAGAAAGUGUAUUCCAAACUGGCUGCUGAGAGAGUGUAUCCCACCUCGGGUAAACAAAGAGACAUGGAGAGCUGGUUAUGGAAUUUGGAUUUGUUCAGCUUUGUUGAGUAUUGUUGCACUUGGUUUGCUUGAACCUACGCCCUUCAUUUUUCUGGAUUUUGAAAUUGUUGAUGAGACUUAUUUAUAUGAGUUGUGAGUCUCCUUUUUAUAGUGCUGGUUCUAGUCCAGCACGUGACAGGGCCUUUUUGGUCAUAUAUCUUGUGGUCUCGCUUGCUAUUGUUAUAUUCAAUUCCCUU